GACGAACGCUGGCGGCGUGCUUAACACAUGCAAGUCGAACGGUGAAAGCGGAGCUUGCUCCGCUGGAUCAGUGGCGAACGGGUGAGUAACACGUGGGCAACCUGCCCCUGACUUCGGGAUAACUCCUCGAAAGAGGUGCUAAUACCGGAUACGAAUCCUGCAGGCAUCUGCGGGAUUGGAAAGUUUUUCGGUCAGGGAUGGGCCCGCGGCCGAUCAGCUUGAUGGUGAGGUAGUGGCUCCCCAAGGCGACGAAGGGUAGCCGGCCUGAGAGGGCGACCGGCCAAACUGGACUGAGACACGGCCCAGACUCCUACGGGAGGCAGCAGUGGGGAAUAUUGCGCAAUGGGCGAAAGCCUGACGCAGCAACGCCGCGUGAGGGAUGACGGCCUUCGGGUUGUAAACCUCUUUCAGCAGGGAAGAAGCGAAAGUGACGGUACCUGCAGAAGAAGCACCGGCUAACUACGUGCCAGCAGCCGCGGUAAGAC
rnacentral:rRNA from 1 species